UCCAUCUCCCCUUCUCUCUCCCUAUCUCCCCUCCUCCCUGUCUCUCUCUCCCCCAUCUCCCCUCCUCCCCAUCUCUCUCUCCCCAUCUCCCCUCCUCCCGUCUCUCUCUCCCCAUCUCCCCUCCUCCCCAUCUCUCUCUCCCCAUCUCCCCUCCUCCCUGUCUCUCUCUCCCUCCAUCUCCCCUUCUCUCUCCCUAUCUCCCCUCCUCCCCAUCUCUCUCUCCCCCAUCUCCCCUCCUCCCUGCUCUCUCUCUCCCCAUCUCCCCUCCUCCCCAUCUCUCUCUCCCCCAUCUCCCCUCCUCCCUGUCUCUCUCUCCCUCCAUCUCCCCUUCUCUCUCCCUAUCUCCUCUCUCCUCCAUCUCUCUCACCCUCAUCUCCCCUCCCCAUCUCUCUCUCCAUCUCCCCUCCUCCCCAUCUCUCUCUCCUCAUCUCCCCAUCUCUUCUUCAUCUUCCUUCCUCCCAUCUCUCUCCCCCAUCUCCCCUCCUCCCCAUCUCUCACUCUCCAUCUCCCCUUCUCUCUCCCUAUCUCCCCUCUCCCCCAUUUUUCUCUCCCCCAUCUCGAGAACCAAAUUGUCUCCUCACCUUUUUUUUUUUUCCCAUCCCGACCCCCACUCCCUUGGGGCCAGAGCUCAGAGCUCCCCUCGGCCUCCCCUCCCCCCCCAACACCCCCAUUCCCCAUACGCCUCCUCAUCUCCACCUCCCAACCAGGUCGGACGCCUGGGUCCCUCGCUGCUGGGGGAGGGGGAGCAGUGAGAACUGGGAGCCACAAGGGUUUUUCUGGGGGGGGCUCACCGUUCCCUCCCCAGUGCAUCGGAGAGUUGACCUAUCCGUAACAGAGCUGGCGACCAUGGCCGCUCUCUGACCGGCUCCCCGCCGAGCCUCCUCCUCGCCGCCCCCUCCCCAGCCCGCCGGCCCGGGCCCCCGACUUCUGCCUGCGCUGUGCCCACCCCACCGCCGGCACGGCCCCGCCCCCGCUGCCCCGGUGGUGGCCCACGGCCCCCCGGCUGCCCGUGGUCAAACUGGAGUCGCUGAAACGCUGGAACGAAGAGAGGGGCCUUUGGUGCGAGAAGGGGUGCAGGUGCUGCUGACGACGGUGGGCGCCUUCGCCGCCUUCGGCCUCAUGACCAUCGCCAUCAGCACCGACUACUGGCUCUACACGCGCGCCUUCAUCUGUAACACCACCAACCUCACGGCCGGCGACGACGGGCCGCCCCACCGCGGGGCAGCGGCUCCUCCGAGAAGAAGGACCCCGGGGGGGGGGGGGGGGGGGGGGGGGGGCGGGCGGGGAUGGAUUUGAAGAACACUGAGGACCAUGCUUAGUGGGCUUCCCUUCAUUUGCUCAGCAAAUAUUUCCCAAGGUCUCCUGUGUGUCAGGCCCUGCACUCUUGAUGCUGGGAGUGGGAGAUGCUUCAGAUCCUGCCCCUCCCCCCCCACCUUCUCCAGGGGCUCCCAAUCUGGUGGGAAGAUGGACUGGGACACAGACAGGAGAGAAGUGGUUAGUUGAUGGUGCCACACUGCCAGGGGCUUCACCAGCUUCUCUCUUCAUAAGAUGGAGCAGCAGAAAGGGGUGGAAUGGGAGGUGGGACGGGAUCAGAACUGGGUGUUGGGAAUUUCCUUCUGGGGCCCAUGUGGACUAGGAAGGGAGAGAGACUGGAGGGCAGGGCACCAGAGAGGAAUUGCAAGGGGGCAGCGUCAGAGAGAAAUGCUGGAAAAUGCCUGGAAAGGCAUACAAAUGAGCAAGACAGAGGAGAACUUAGUGUAGGGAUGACAAAAUGGAGAGAAGAGGGACAGAGAGAGGUGGAGUGAAAAGAGACAAAUUUGGUGGGGGAGGGGGUUCUGUAGUGGAGGAGGACAGAACUGGU
rnacentral:lncRNA from 1 species